UUGAAACACCGGUUUCCGUACAAUCACCGAAGUUAAGCAACGUCGAGCCAGGUCAGUACCCGUAUGGGUGACAGCUUAGGAAUAUCAGGUGCUGUAA